UACGAAGGUCCCAAGCGUUGUUCGGAAUUACUGGGCGUAAAGCGUGUGUAGGCGGCGGGGUAAGUCAGAUGUGAAAUCCCGGAGCUCAACUCCGGAACUGCAUCCGAUACUGCCUUGCUAGAGGGCUGGAGGGGGGUCUGGAAUUCUCGGUGUAGCAGUGAAAUGCGUAGAUAUCGAGAGGAACACUCGUGGCGAAGGCGAGACCCUGGACAGAUCCUGACGCUGAGACACGAAGGCUAGGGUAGCGAACGGG
rnacentral:rRNA from 1 species